rnacentral:rRNA from 1 species
GACGUAGGGCGCGAGCGUUGUCCGGAUUUAUUGGGCGUAAAGAGCUCGUAGGCGGCUUGUUACGUCGACUGUGAAAACCCGCGGCUCAACCGUGUGGUCUGCAGUCGAUACGGGCAGGCUAGAGUUCGGUAGGGGAGACUGGUAUUCCUGGUGUAGCGGUGAAAUGCGCAGAUAUCAGGAGGGACACCGGUGGCGAAGGCGGGUCUCUGGGCCGAUACUGACGCUGAGGAGCGAAAGCGUGGGGAGCGAACAGG